UACGUAGGCGGCCCACUAAGUUGGAUGUGAAAUCCCACGGCUCAACCGUGGAACUGCGUCCAAAACUGGUGGGCUUGAGAACGGUAGGGGACAGUGGAACUCCAGGUGGAGCGGUGAAAUGCGUAGAGAUCUGGAGGAACACCGGUGGCGAAAGCGACUGUCUAGGCCGAUUCUGACGCUGAGGUACGAAAGCCGGGGUAGCGAACG
rnacentral:rRNA from 1 species